rnacentral:rRNA from 1 species
AUUGAACGCUGGCGGCAGGCCUAACACAUGCAAGUCGAGCGGAUGAAGGGAGCUUGCUCCUGGAUUCAGCGGCGGACGGGUGAGUAAUGCCUAGGAAUCUGCCUGGUAGUGGGGGAUAACGUCCGGAAACGGGCGCUAAUACCGCAUACGUCCUGAGGGAGCAAGUGGGGGAUCUUCGGACCUCACGCUAUCAGAUGAGCCUAGGUCGGAUUAGCUAGUUGGUGGGGUAAAGGCCUACCAAGGCGACGAUCCGUAACUGGUCUGAGAGGAUGAUCAGUCACACUGGAACUGAGACACGGUCCAGACUCCUACGGGAGGCAGCAGUGGGGAAUAUUGGACGAUGGGCGAAAGCCUGAUCCAGCCAUGCCGCGUGUGUGAAGAAGGUCUUCGGAUUGUAAAGCACUUUAAGUUGGGAGGAAGGGCAGUAAGUUAAUACCUUGCUGUUUUGACGUUACCAACAGAAUAAGCACCGGCUAACUUCGUG